rnacentral:rRNA from 1 species
ACUCCUACGGGAGGCAGCAGUGGGGAAUAUUGCACAAUGGGGGAAACCCUGAUGCAGCCAUGCCGCGUGUGUGAAGAAGGCCUUCGGGUUGUAAAGCACUUUCAGUAGGGAGGAAGGUAGUNUAGUUAACACCUGCAUUAUUUGACGUUUACCUACAGAAGAGCACGGCUAACUCCGGUGCCAGCAGCCGCGGUAAUACGGAGGGUGCGAGCGUUAAUCGGAAUUACUGGGCGUAAAGCGCAUGCAGGCGGCCUGUUAAGUCAGAUGUGAAAGCCCGGGGCUUAACCUCGGAAUUGCAUUGAAACUGGCAGGCUAGAGUCUUGUAGAGGGGGUAGAAUUUGCAGGUGUA